UGGCUCAGGAUGAACGCUAGCUACAGGCUUAACACAUGCAAGUCGAGGGGCAGCAUGGAGUUUGCUUGCAAACUCUGAUGGCGACCGGCGCACGGGUGAGUAACGCGUAUCCAACCUUCCCUAUAGUAGAGGAUAGCCCGGCGAAAGUCGGAUUAAUACUCUAUGUUUUCCGUUGCAGACAUCUAAGAUGGAACAAAAGCUUGCCGCUAUAGGAUGGGGAUGCGUCUGAUUAGGUAGUCGGCGGGGUAACGGCCCACCGAGCCAUCGAUCAGUAGGGGUUCUGAGAGGAAGGUCCCCCACAUUGGAACUGAGACACGGUCCAAACUCCUACGGGAGGCAGCAGUGAGGAAUAUUGGUCAAUGGGCGAGAGCCUGAACCAGCCAAGUAGCGUGCAGGAUGACGGCCCUAUGGGUUGUAAACUGCUUUUAUGCGGGGAUAAAGUUCACUACGUGUAGUGUUUUGUAGGUACCGCAUGAAUAAGGACCGGCUAAUUCCGUGCCAGCCGCAGC
rnacentral:rRNA from 1 species